AAGGUCGACCGGGGUUAAUGUGUUCUCGGGGCUAUGGUGUUUUGUCUAUAUUUUUGGCCUUUAUUUCGUUAUAUGUGAUUUACGGCAUCUAUUAAAGAGUAGAGAAACUAUUUGGUUACAAACUUACGCAAUGAAGACAUCUCUAAUAUUACUGCUUUACCGAUACGGCCAUUUUUUCAGAGUCGUCAGUUAUUUGGCUAGAUUGACGUUGUGCGUGUAAUUUACAUAUUCGCUUUUUAAACUUAAAACUGUGGAUGAUGUGAAUUUAUUUUAAGAUGGUGCGUCACUAUAAGCGAAAAACUAAUCACUCAUAUUCUCAAGAAUCACUCCAAAAAUGAUACCACGUAUGCAGCCACUGGCAUCUGGAGCUUCCAAACCCACAACCUUAGCCCCCUUCAUGGCGUGCCUUGCGUGUCACAACCCGCGUGGGUCGCAGAGUUUGAAACUAGUCGUGCAUGCUCCGGCAAACAAUCCGUCAUACAUUUAUGUUUAUAAUAUUAUAGAAUUUCUUAUCCAGAUGAAGAAGACUUUAUUUUGUUUUAUGAAAAUGUGCUUUGACUUUUGAAAAGAUUAAUUUGAUAAAUUAUUACUAUAAACAAACUUGUCGAUAGUCAAUUUCACAUCACUAAAUUGAACCUGAAUAGCUACAAUUGCCCCAAAUAUGAUUAAAACUUUUAUUUUUGCA